rnacentral:rRNA from 1 species
GAGUUUGAUCUUGGCUCAGGAUGAACGCUGGCGGCGCGCCUAAUACAUGCAAGUCGAGCGAACGGACGAGAAGCUUGCUUCUCUGAUGUUAGCGGCGGACGGGUGAGUAACACGUGGAUAACCUACCUAUAAGACUGGGAUAACUUCGGGGAAACCGGAGCUAAUACCGGAUAAUAUUUUGAACCGCAUGGUUCAAAAGUGAAAGACGGUCUUGCUGUCACUUAUAGAUGGAUCCGCGCUGCAUUAGCUAGUUGGUAAGGUAACGGCUUACCAAGGCAACGAUGCAUAGCCGACCUGAGAGGGUGAUCGGCCACACUGGAACUGAGACACGGUCCAGACUCCUACGGGAGGCAGCAGUAGGGAAUCUUCCGCAAUGGGCGAAAAGCCUGACGGAGCAACGCCGCGUGAGUGAUGAAGGUCUUCGGAUCGUAAAACUCUGUUAUUAGGGAAGAACAUAUGUGUAAGUAACUGUGCACAUCUUGACGGUACCUAAUCAGAAAGCCACGGCUAACUACGUC